CCUACUGGUGGCUGCAGUGAGGAAUAUUGGUCAAUGGGCGCGAGCCUGAACCAGCCAAGUAGCGUGAAGGAUGACUGCCCUACGGGUUGUAAACUUCUUUUAUAAAGGAAUAAAGUGAGGCACGUGUGCCUUUUUGUAUGUACUUUAUGAAUAAGGAUCGGCUAACUCCGUGCCAGCAGCCGCGGUACUACGGAGGAUCCGAGCGUUAUCCGGAUUUAUUGGGUUUAAAGGGAGCGUAGAUGGGUUGUUAAGUCAGUUGUGAAAGUUUGCGGCUCAACCGUAAAAUUGCAAUUGAUACUGGCAGCCUUGAGUACAGUUGGGGUAGGCGGAAUUCGUGGUGUAGCGGUGAAAUGCUUAGAGAUCACGAAGAACCCCGAUUGCGAAGGCAGCUUAAUAAACUGUGACUGACAUUGAUGCUCGAAAGUGUGGGUAUCAAACAGGAUUAGAUACCCUGGUAGUC
rnacentral:rRNA from 1 species